rnacentral:rRNA from 1 species
GUGAAAUCCCCGGGCUUAACCUGGGAACUGCAUGUGAUACUGGUGGUGCUGGAUUAUGUGAAAGGGAAGUAGAAUUCCAGGUGUAGCGGUGAAAUGCGUAAAGAUCUGGAGGAAUACCGAUGGCGAAGGCAGCUUCCUGGCAUAAUAUUGACACUGAGAUUCGAAAGCGUGGGUACCAAACAGGAUUAAAUACCCUGGUAAUCCCACCCCUAAACCAUGUCUACUAGCCGUUGGGGUCCUUGAGACUUUAGUGGCGCAGUUAACGCUAUAAGUACACCCCCUGGGGAGUACGGCCGCAAGGUUAAAACUCAAAGGAAUUGACGG